AUUGAACGCUGGCGGCAGGCCUAACACAUGCAAGUCGAGCGGAUGACGGGAGCUUGCUCCUUGAUUCAGCGGCGGACGGGUGAGUAAUGCCUAGGAAUCUGCCUGGUAGUGGGGGACAACGUUUCGAAAGGAACGCUAAUACCGCAUACGUCCUACGGGAGAAAGCAGGGGACCUUCGGGCCUUGCGCUAUCAGAUGAGCCUAGGUCGGAUUAGCUAGUAGGUGAGGUAAUGGCUCACCUAGGCGACGAUCCGUAACUGGUCUGAGAGGAUGAUCAGUCACACUGGAACUGAGACACGGUCCAGACUCCUACGGGAGGCUGCAGUGGGGAAUAUUGGACAAUGGGCGAAAGCCUGAUCCAGCCAUGCCGCGUGUGUGAAGAAGGUCUUCGGAUUGUAAAGCACUUUAAGUUGGGAGGAAGGGCAGUAAGCUAAUACCUUGCUGCUUUGACGUUACCGACAGAAUAAGCACCGGCUAACUCUGUGCCAGCCGCCGCAGUAACAC
rnacentral:rRNA from 1 species